CCCGUGACUGCUUGCCACUUUGGGGCGAUGAGCGCAGAGACAUAGUGUGUCCGGGGCCUGGCAGCCACUUUGUCAUUUAAACUGCUUCACUCACAGUAGCAGGAGACAAAGUUAAUGUUCCCCUGGGGAGAAAGAAGGUGGUGGAUGUGCAACCACAGCUCAUUGCCAUCACCUUAUGAGGGUGACAUCCACUUGUGAUGACAAGAGUGAAUGAUGCAAGUUCACGUGUUAUUAUGGCAAAACCUUGUCAGAUCCAGAUCAGAGACAAUUCAAAUGGCAAAUGUAAACUAAAGGGGGAACAGGGAGAGGCAGCAGCUGCCAAAGCAGAGCCAGCUGUGGCAUCCACGCUCCUGCCCAUGGGGGACACCCUGCAAUG